AUUGAACGCUGGCGGCAGGCCUAACACAUGCAAGUCGAGCGAGCGGCGGACGGGUGAGUAAUGUCUGGGAAACUGCCUGAUGGAGGGGGAUAACUACUGGAAACGGUAGCUAAUACCGCAUACCCUCAGAUGUGCCCAGAUGGGAUUAGCUAGUAGGUGGGGUACCGGCUCACCUAGGCGACGAUCCCUAGCUGGUCUGAGAGGAUGACCAGCCACACGGGAACUGAGACAGGGUCCAGACUCCGACGGGAGGCAGCAGUGGGGAAUAUUGCACAAUGGGCGCAAGCCGGAUGCAGCCAUGUCGCGUGUGUGAAGAAGGACUUCGGGUUGUAAAGCACUUACAGCGGGGAGGCAUUACCCGCAGAAGAAGCACCGGCUAACUCCGUGCCAGCAGCCGCGGUAAUUC
rnacentral:rRNA from 1 species